rnacentral:piRNA from 1 species
UAGGAAAUGCUUUGAAAAAAU